CUGUUAAAGCAGCUAACCCCUAGUGGCCACAUUACUGGCUGCGACACUGUCAAAUUGCCGGGAAAUCCUGUCAAGUCAGCGAUACCGCUCCACAUGGGAAACUGUGUGGCUGCACCACGGUGAAAGUCGUGGGUAUGGUAAAAACUCGCUGAAUAGGGACAAUCGGCAGCCAAGUCCUAAAGCAUUACGUUGUAUGCUAUGGAUGCAGUUCAGAGACUAGAUGGCAGUGGGUCCCUCUCCUGUAGAGAGGUGGCUUAAGAUAUAGUCCGGCCCUACCGAAAGGUAGACUGUGAGAGGACGCUGUCUGUGAUGGCUGAGAGCUCACAGUGGUUGAGAGUAAAUACCACUUCUCGCGAGGGAAGCGGCGGCUUCUAAGGCUCGUCUCAACCGGAGUAACCGAGGUGAACCUGCGGAAGGAUCAUUGAAUCUAUCAAUACCAACACCGUGAACUCUAUUUGUUCGGUCCCCCAGAACCGUGUGGUCGCAAGGCCAGUGGGUUCUGGUGGCUGUGUGUGGGAGGAGUAAUCUGACUGCGCACAGGCCUCGACCGCUGCAUGCCCCUGCAAGGGGGUGUGCUAGCGCGUUGAGUCGGCCACACUAUAACCAACCCAACACCAAACUAAACCUAUCAAUUACUUACUAUAUGCAUCUGGCCUGGCCAAUGCAUCCUAACUGAGACAACUCUCAACAACGGAUAUCUUGGCUCUCGCAACGAUGAAGAACGCAGCGAAAUGCGAUACGUAGUGUGAAUUGCAGAAUUCCGUGAAUCAUCGAAUCUUUGAACGCAUAUUGCGCUCGAGGCUUCGGCCAAGAGCAUGUCUGCCUCAGCGUCGGGUUAAUAUCGCCAACCUAUACACCUAGUGUAUAUAUGGCGGACCUGGCUGUUCCAGCUCUGCUGUUAUGGCACUCUGGAUCAGCUGAAGAGCAGAGGUUAACCAAGGACCCGCUAAGGGCCGCAACUGGGUGGGCUGUCAAAGGCUAUAUUCUUAGUUGUUGGUCUGGGACGCAUGUGUCGACCCUCAAACAGGAAACUUAAGCCUACACGAGCGCGACCUG
rnacentral:rRNA from 1 species